UCAGAAUCCAAGAGCUGCUCUGUGCUUCUGGACACCAUGUAAAACAUGGAAUGAAAUAUGCCAACCGUCGGCUAAAGACGUGUUCUGGCUUUGUUUGUUCGUUUGUUUGUUUCGGUAUCCAUGCCUCUUGUGGGAGAAGCUAAAGCUAGGAAAAGACCCCAAGAAAGAAGUGUCUGACUUAACUAAACAGCAAUGGAACACUCAUAUUCUAUAUGUGAUCCCCUUACAAUGUCCUUGAAUUGAAAUAUAGCGCUUGUGCCAUUUAUAAGUGUUCCUCAUGGGGGUCCAUAUUAACUGCAAACACAGCAAUUCGUUUGGGCAUAAAUUGUUAUUAAGAUACACACUAGUGUGGGUGAAUCUGAAAAGAGUAUAGAAGGAAAAAGGGAAGUCAAUGACGGGCUUGUCAUCCAACUUAGGUAUUAUUAUUUGGGGACAUACACUUUUACAUUUCUACUCCACUCUUAUCUUCUAAAAUUUCUAUUCUUGUUUCUGUUUUGUUCUGAGAUAGGGUAUCUAUGUAGCCCAGGUUGUCCUAGAACUAUGAAGAGCAGGCUGGCCUCAGACUCAUAGAAAUCCUCCUGCCUCAGCCUCCUGGAUGCUAGGGAUAGGUAUGCAACACCAGGUCCAGCAAUGCAUUGUUGUUGUUUUAGGUGAGUGAGUUAUUUUUAUUAGCAAGGACAGGGCACUGCUUUCGCUACUGGAUGUACAGUAGUGAUAAGUCAAGUCCUGUGCGCAUGUCCUUGGCAGGGGGUAAUAAAGUGGCCUAAGAGCAAGUCAAGAAUGAGUGAUUCACUGUGAGAGGACAUGCUCAGCAGGAAUGGGGCCUCAGCUCCACCACAACACUGCACGGAUAAACAAGGCAAGGAAAUGGGGCAGCCCUCAGGAGGGGCGAGAUGAGCUCUAUUUAGACAGAACAGUUGGAAAACACCUCUCAGAAGGUCCCUGUGCACGGAGACAUAAUGAAGAGGAAGAGGGCUUGGGGGACAACUGGAGUGAUCCCUGUAGAAGCAGCAAGGUCCACCCCCAAAGCUGCCACUAAAAAGUUCUGCACCAUUUGGAACAAGUUCACUAGGUUGGAGAUCAGAGGACUUCGGUGUGGACUGUGGUAAAGCUAGAAAAGCGAAUAGCAUUCGCUCUCCAUUAGCAUUAGCUCUCCCUCCACCUUCCGUCCUUUUCCUGCAUUAAGUCCUGAUUACUUUGUAUCACUCUUUCUUGUUCUCCUUUCUAAAUGUUACUCUAUACCUAAGUGUCUAUUUGUAUACACUAACUCUCUAUGGGCUAGAAUACACCUGUAUAUUUGUAUACACCAAUGCUCUGUGGGCUAGAAUACACAUGAAAUAGAACAUGCAGCUUUUUUUUCUUUUUGAGUGUGUAUCCUUACAUAAUAUUAUAUAUUGUAUCU
rnacentral:lncRNA from 1 species